GAUGAACGCUGGCGGCGUGCCUAAUACAUGCAAGUCGAGCGAACAGACGAGGAGCUUGCUCCUCUGACGUUAGCGGCGGACGUGUGAGUAACACGUGGAUAACCUACCUAUAUGACUGGGAUAACUUCGGGAAACCGGAGCUAAUACCGGAUAAUAUCUUGAACCGCAUGGUUCAAUAGUGAAAGCCGGUUUUGCUGUCACUUAUAGAUGGAUCCGCGCCGCAUUAGCUAGUUGGUAAGGUAACGGCUUACCAAGGCAACGAUGCGUAGCCGACCUGAGAGGGUGAUCGGCCACACUGGAACUGAGACACGGUCCAGACUCCUACGGGAGGCAGCAGUAGGGAAUAUUCCGCAAUGGGCGAAAGCCUGACAGAGCAAGGCCGCGUGAGUGAUGAAGGUCUUCGGAUCGUAAAACUCUGUUGUUGGGGAAGAACAAAUGUGUAAGUAACUCAGCACGUCUUGACGGUACCUAAUCAGAAAGCCACGGCUAACUACGUG
rnacentral:rRNA from 1 species